UCUUUUGUAGUUUAUUAAAAAAUCUUGGUUUUUCACAUCAAUGAAGAGUUAUCCAAAAGUU
rnacentral:tRNA from 1 species